GACGAACGCUGGCGGCGUGCCUAAUACAUGCAAGUAGGACGCAGUUGCGAACGGGUGAGUAACGCGUAGGUAACUACCUAUUAGAGGGGGAUAACUCUUGGAAACGAUAGCUAAUACCGCAUACUAGUAGAUGGACCUGCGUUGUAUUUGGUAGUAGGUUGGGGAAUGGCCUACCUAGGCAAAGAUACAUGGCCGACCUGGAGGGGGGGUCGGCCCACCUGGGACUGGAACACGGGCCAAACUCCUAAGGGAGGCAGCAGUAGGGAAACUUCGGGAAUGGGGGGAACCCUGACCGGGCAACGCCGCGUGAGUGAAGAAGGGUUUCGGGUCUUAAAGCUCUGUUGUUAAGGAAGCGGUACUUAACCAGAAAGGGACGGCUAACUACGUGCCAGCAGCCGCGGUAAUAC
rnacentral:rRNA from 1 species